CUCAGCCUCUCCGGUUAUUCAUAGCUUCAGAGCAUCGGUGCCGGUUGAGUUACAGACCCAGCAAGGACCGUGGGUAACUGACCAGAUAAGCCCUGAAGUCCCCAUCAGCGCCAUCACUGUCACCCCGAUGAGUUCCUGUUACGAGCGAGCGGCCAGAGCAGCCCCAGGUGGGGGCAGGAAAAGCCCCAGAGGGGGGUGUGUCCCGUCUGCGGAACGGAGUUACUAAGCUCCAAGGCACGGUGCCGUGUGCUGCUAAUGACGGAAGUAUGUACCGGACACACAGAGUGGAUUCUCCGUGUCCGGCGUUUCGCUCUACCGUGGCAAAGCACCUGUGCAGCCAGAAAGCGAGAACAAAGAACCCCGUGAAGAUCUAACACAGGCGGCCGUGCGGCCCCACUUCCUUCUCAGGCCCGCGGCGGGGAAACCACCUGGCUGACUCACUGGAGGUGAGAGGAGCCCGGCGGGAUGUGGGCACAGGUCAUGCCCGCGAAGAGGCCCAGGUGAGGAAACUGAGUCUCAGAGAAGUUUGCUUCCUCCAGCCUGCUCAGUGAACUCCUAUUCAUCCUGCAAAGCCCACCUCUUGAGCUAAAUGAAGAGACCCUUUCUGUGUCCUUCUGAAACGGAGACAAGCCCCUUCGCUGCACCCUUCUUCUCUCUCUGUGCCUUCAUCCUCCUUGGCCUUCAAGCCCAGGGAGGGCAGGGCCAGGCCUGAUUCACACCCAGAAGCCAGCGGGCAUGUGCCACGUUAGAAGUGUGCGGUGAAUUGUUUACCGGGUGCACACAGCAGCCCGAGCAAGUUCCUGCUUCCUGCUUUCUUCCUUUGUCUUCUCAGAAAUGCAACUUUAAAUAAAAUGCAGAAGUUCGAA